rnacentral:rRNA from 1 species
GUUAAUCGGAAUUACUGGGCGUAAAGCGUGCGCAUGCGGUUCGGUGUGUCCGAUGUGAAAGCCCCGGGCUUAACCUGGGAAUGGCAUUGGAAACUGGCGAGCUUGAGUGCGGCAGAGGGGGGUGGAAUUCCGCGUGUAGCAGUGAAAUGCGUAGAGAUGCGGAGGAACACCGAUGGCGAAGGCAGCCCCCUGGGUCGACACUGACGCUCAGGCACGAAAGCGUGGGGAGCAAACAGG